rnacentral:rRNA from 1 species
GACGAACGCUGGCGGCGUGCUUAACACAUGCAAGUCGAACGGAAAGGCCCUGCUUUUGUGGGGUGCUCGAGUGGCGAACGGGUGAGUAACACGUGAGUAACCUGCCCUUUACUUUGGGAUAACUUCAGGAAACUGGUGCUAAUACCGGAUAGGAGCUCCUGCUGCAUGGUGGGGUUUGGAAAGUUUCGGCGGUUGUGGAUGGACUCGCGGCUUAUCAGCUGGUUGGUGGGGUAGUUGCUUACCAAGGCUUUGACGGCUGGCCGGCAUGAGAGGGUGACCGGCGACAUUGGGCCUAAGAUACGCACCAGACUCCUAUGGGAGGCAGCAGUGGGGAAUAUUGCACAAUGGGCGGAAGCGUGAUGAAGCAACGCCCCGUGCGGGAUGACGGCCUUCGGGUUGUAAACCGCUUUCGCUUGUGACGAAGCGUGAGUGACGGUAAUGGGUAAAGAAGCACCGGCUAACUACGUG